rnacentral:lncRNA from 1 species
GUAAACGGUUAGUGAGAGCUUUAAUAUGUAAAGAAAGGAGGGAGAAAAUUCCAACUGGAAAGUUAAAGUAAAGAGAUAAGAAAGGAAAAAGUAUGCUGAGGGAGGAGUGGAGUUAGUGAGUAGAUUGACUUUGGGGAGUAAUGGGAAGAGGGAAAUUUAAAAAGACAAGAAAAUGACACAUUACAGGUUUAGUAAUUUUGGCGGCUGUUUGACUGACGUUAACUUCUCACUAGCUGUUUUCUCUUUCAGAAAUGGCCUUUGUUGGACUGUAAGCAUUUUGAGAGGAAGGUCUGUGUGUUUUGGUAGUUCUCUGUAUGCUCCACAGCACUUAUGAGAGUGAAUUGCAAAUAGUUGGUGCUAGAUAUUUGACUUUCCCAGAAGGGAGUAUGAAGGAAAGAAGAUAAGUUUAUUUUUCUUAGUAAUGGUUCCCUGGAAAAAACAUUCUUGCCUAUAUUCCAAUUUUGUAGUUUCUAUUUCAUAGGUACUGUUUGGAACAACCUUUGCUCUUGCCUAUAUCUAAGCCUUUUCUCUAACUCUCUAAGCUAGAGAAUUCUAAGAAUUCUGUAUUCUUAGAAUUCUAAGAAUUAUGAUUCUAAGUAUGCUGUAUCGUAGGCUUGUAAGAAAUUUCUAUUUUGCCUAAGUUAGUUAGCGACAGUUUCUGCUUCUUAAAAAAAGUGACCCAGUGGAUGACCUCAAUAUGCAUAUAUGAGACAACUUCUGUCUAUGGGUUCUUCCUCAAAUUACUAGACUUAUCAUCCUGGUAAUGUUUUUUCUCCAACAGAAAAACAAUAAGUGUGUGCAAUUUUCAAGAAUAAAGUGAGAUUUAGAAAACUAGUGGUUUAUCCAUAUGUAAUGGAGUCUGCACAUGUCAGGUGGUGCUACUUUCUGGCUCUUCUACCUCAAACAGAUGGUAGGAUGGUUGCAACAGUUCCAAGCAGGUCAUCUACAGAUGCCACUGGCCAGAAAGAUCAAAAGGAACUGUCUUCUCUGAUAUCUUUAUCGGGUAAGGACAGCUUUCCCAUAAGCAUUCUAGCAGAUCUCGUCUCCUGUCUCAGAGGCCAGCAAAGUGUUAUCUCAUUAGUAUUCAUAAACUACUGCUUUCAUUUACCACUUCAGAUCCAAAACUUUCAGGUUCUUCCAUUAGGUUUUAGAUACCUUUGUGGACAAUAGAACCAUCAUGACUAGUUUAAGUCAAUCAGGAUUUACCCAGAGAACUGAGGAGCGGAUCACCCUUCCCUAGGUCAAAUGGAGGAGAGACAGACAUUUCAACAAAACUAGUCUCUGCCAGAAAGGUAGAGAGAGGACUGGUAAUAGACCAUCUGCUAUACGCGUCUGCAUUAAACCAUAAGUUAAAAUUAUAUUGAAUUAUUCUUACUGACUACUCGGUGUAAAAUAUCUUACGUCAUGCUUAUUUAUGCAACAUCCAUCAAACAUCAACAAUGCUG